rnacentral:rRNA from 1 species
AGAGUUUGAUCAUGGCUCAGAUUGAACGCUGGCGGCAGGCUUAACACAUGCAAGUCGAGCGGUAACAGGGGAGCUUGCUCCUGCUGACGAGCGGCGGACGGGUGAGUAACGCGUAGGAAUCUACCUAGUAGAGGGGGACAACAUGUGGAAACGCAUGCUAAUACCGCAUACACCCUAAGGGGGAAAGGAGGGGACUCUUCGGAGCCUUCCGCUAUUAGAUGAGCCUGCGUGAGAUUAGCUAGUUGGUAGGGUAAAGGCCUACCAAGGCGACGAUCUCUAACUGGUCUGAGAGGAUGACCAGUCACACUGGGACUGAGACACGGCCCAGACUCCUACGGGAGGCAGCAGUGGGGAAUAUUGGACAAUGGGCGGAAGCCUGAUCCAGCCAUGCCGCGUGUGUGAAGAAGGCCUUAGGGUUGUAAAGCACUUUCAGGGGUGAGGAAGGGUAACUGGCUAAUAUCCAGUUAUCU